AGACGAGCUGGUUGCCUGAGUG
rnacentral:miRNA from 1 species